AGAUUGAACGCUGGCGGCAGGCCUAACACAUGCAAGUCGAGCGGUAGAGAGGUGCUUGCAUCUCUUGAGAGCGGCGGACGGGUGAGUAAUGCCUAGGAAUCUGCCUAGUGGUGGGGGAUAACGUUCGGAAACGGACGCUAAUACCGCAUACGUCCUACGGGAGAAAGCGGGGGACCUUCGGGCCUCGCGCCAUUAGAUGAGCCUAGGUCGGAUUAGCUAGUUGGUGACGGUAAUGGCUCACCAAGGCGACGA
rnacentral:rRNA from 1 species